rnacentral:misc_RNA from 1 species
AGAGAGAGAGAGAGAGAGAAGCGGAUGGGUCUGCUUUCUAAUAGGAUCGUCAAGGAGAGCCUGAAGCCAGGGGAUCAUAUAUACUCGUGGAGGACUGCAUAUAUAUAUGCGCAUCACGGAAUCUAUAUUGGGGAUGAUAAAGUAAUUCAUUUUACCAGACGCGGUCAAGAAGUAGGAACAGGAACAGUGCUUGAUCUCCUCUUGACUAGCUCAGGACCAGCGAACACUCAAGUGCCUUGCCCCACUUGCACUAUGCAGCGAGAGGGACACGGGGUUAUCCUCUCAUGCUUGAAUUGCUUCCUUGCUGGAGGUGUCUUGUAUCGCUUUGAGUAUGAUGUCAGCCCUGCUUUAUUUCUUGCAAAAGCACGUGGUGGAACUUGUACUCUUGCAGUUUCAGACCCAAAUGAUAUUGUGGUACACCGGGCAAAAUUCCUGCUUGAGAAUGGCUUUGGGUGUUAUAAUGUGUUUAAGAACAAUUGUGAAGAUUUUGCUAUUUAUUGCAAAACCGGACUCCUUGUUGUAGAUCAAGGAACAAUGGGACAGAGUGGCCAAGCAGCAUCCAUUGUCGGGGGCCCUCUUGCAGCUGUUCUAUCUACACCAUUGCGUCUUGUCACCACCAAUGUCUAUGGGAUGGCUGCAACAGCUGUUGGAGUUUACUGUGUUAGCAGAUAUGCUGCUGAUAUUGGCAAGAGGAGGGAUGUGCUGAAGGUCUCAGUGGAGGAUCUGACAAGGAGGCUGGCCACAGGCUCACUCCAGGUGGUCGAAAAUCAAAUUUUAGCUAGACCAAUCUAAGAGAAUCGAUUGUUUGACAUCAAAUAAAUAUUUGAAGCUUCUCUUUAUUCUAUUUAUCUAGUGAAUAAUUGGUUUGGAUUGGGACUAUGAUUACACAGCACGAGCUGCAUCUUUGUUAUGUGACAUCAUGUAGCUUUAUCUACAUGUUUUAUGUGAUGUUGUAAUGUGCAAGGAUUGUUGGUCUUCUAAGUAAAAAAAUUAUAUUUAUCAUUUAUGGCUAAGCCAGAGGUAACAAUAAUUCAACUGUGACAAUAUGUGAAGUGCUUUGCUAACUAGCAGAUGGCCAAGGAUGUAGUGUAUCCAAAG